rnacentral:pre_miRNA from 1 species
UUAAUGAGAAAUAGGACUGCCAGUGUAGUCACGUACAUCUUUUAACAAGGAAUACGCAAUAAUAUAACUAAAGUUAUAUCAUUGCGUAUUCCUUGUUAAAAGAUGUACGUGACUACACUUGCAGUCCUAUUUCUCAUUAAGAU